GCCGGGAUGGCGGAAUCGGUAGACGCAGCGGAUUCAAAAUCCGCCGCCGAAAGGUGUGUGGGUUCGAGUCCCACUCCCGGCACCA
rnacentral:tRNA from 1 species